AUUGAACGCUGGCGGCAGGCCUAAUACAUGCAAGUCGAGCGGAUGAAGGGAGCUUGCGCCUGGAUUCAGCGGCGGACGGGUGAGUAAUGCCUAGGAAUCUGCCUGGUAGUGGGGGAUAACGUCCGGAAACGGGCGCUAAUACCGCAUCCGUCCUGAGGGAGAAAGUGGGGGAUCUUCGGUCCUCACGCUAUUAGAUGAGCCUAGGUCGGAUUAGCUAGUUGGUUGGGUAAAGGCCUACCAAGGCGACGAUCCGUAACUGGUCUGAGAGGAUGAUCAGUAAACCUGGAACUGAGACACGGCCCAGACUCCUACGGGAGGCAGCAGUGGGGAAUAUUGGAAAAUGGGCGAAAGCCUGAUGCAGCCAGGCCGCGUGUGUGAAGAAGGUCUUGGGAUUGUAAAGCACUUUAAGUUGGGAGAAAGGGCAGUAAGUUAACACCUCGCUGUUUUGACGUUACCAACAGAAUAAGCACCGGCUAACUUCGU
rnacentral:rRNA from 1 species